AUAUCUAUGAAAGCAAUGGCCGUCUUGUUUCUACUAUCGAUUUU
rnacentral:sRNA from 1 species